UACGUAGGAGGCAAGCGUUGUCCGGAAUCACUGGGCGUAAAGCGCGUGUAGGUGGGCAGGUAAGUCCGUGGUGAAAUCUCUGAGCUUAGCUCAGAAACUGCCGUGGAUACUAUUUGUCUUGAAUGUUGUGGAGGUGAGCGGAAUAUGUCAUGUAGCGGUGAAAUGCUUAGAUAUGACAUAGAACACCAAUUGCGAAGGCAGCUCACUACACAAUUAUUGACGCUGAGGCACGAAAGCGUGGGGAUCAAACAGG
rnacentral:rRNA from 1 species